rnacentral:rRNA from 1 species
GUUACAAUACGCCUUUAUUGGCCUUGAGACGUGGUUCCUGCAUGUGUUGUCGGCAUUAGAGAUCAUCGAUCUGUCUUGUUGGUAGUGUGUGUACUGAGCUAUUGUUUUCUUAUGUAUUGUCGCGAUUCUGACAAAAUGGUUUUCAUCGACCCGUCUUGUAACACGGACCA